rnacentral:rRNA from 1 species
UGAACGCUAGCGGCAGGCCUAAUACAUGCAAGUCGGACGGGAUCCGUCGGAGAGCUUGCUCGAAGACGGUGAGAGUGGCGCACGGGUGCGUAACGCGUGAGCAACCUACCUCUAUCAGGGGGAUAGCCUCUCGAAAGAGAGAUUAACACCGCAUAAUAUCAACAGUUCGCAUGUUCAGUUGAUUAAAUAUUUAUAGGAUGGAGAUGGGCUCGCGUGACAUUAGCUAGUUGGUAGGGUAACGGCUUACCAAGGCGACGAUGUCUAGGGGCUCUGAGAGGAGAAUCCCCCACACUGGUACUGAGACACGGACCAGACUCCUACGGGAGGCAGCAGUAAGGAAUAUUGGGUCAAUGGGCGGAAGCCUGAACCAGCCAUGCCGCGUGCAGGAUGACUGCCCUAUGGGUUGUAAACUGCUUUUGUCCAGGAAUAAACCUUUCUACGUGUAGGAAGCUGAAUGUACUGGAAGAAUAAGGAUCGGCUAACUCCGUG